GAAAGCCGUGUGCAAUGAAAAUGCAAGCACGGCUUGGGAGGGAUUUUUACUUAUUUAACAAGAAAUUAUCUAUCCAUCCGAC
rfam:Helianthus annuus unplaced genomic scaffold HanXRQChr00c0838, whole genome shotgun sequence.